rnacentral:rRNA from 1 species
GUGAGUAACACGUGGGCAAUCUGCCCUGCACUUCGGGAUAAGCCUGGGAAACUGGGUCUAAUACCGGAUAGGACCUCAAGACGCAUGUCUUCUGGUGGAAAGCUUUUGCGGUGUGGGAUGGGCCCGCGGCCUAUCAGCUUGUUGGUGGGGUGACGGCCUACCAAGGCGACGACGGGUAGCCGGCCUGAGAGGGUGUCCGGCCACACUGGGACUGAGAUACGGCCCAGACUCCUACGGGAGGCAGCAGUGGGGAAUAUUGCACAAUGGGCGCAAGCCUGAUGCAGCGACGCCGCGUGGGGGAUGACGGCCUUCGGGUUGUAAACCUCUUUCACCAUCGACGAAGGUCCGGGUUUUCUCGGAUUGACGGUAGGUGGAGAAGAAGCACCGGCCAACUACGUGCCAGCAGCCGCGGUGAUACGUAGGGUGCGAGCGUUGUCCGGAAUUACUGGGCGUAAAGAGCUCGUAGGUGGUUUGUCGCGUUGUUCGUGAAAUCUCACGGCUUAACUGUGAGCGUGCGGGCGAUACGGGCAGACUAGAGUACUGCAGGGGAGACUGGAAUUCCUGGUGUAGCGGUGGAAUGCGCAGAUAUCAGGAGGAACACCGGUGGCGAAGGCGGGUCUCUGGGCAGUAACUGACGCUGAGGAGCGAAAGCGUGGGGAGCGAACAGGAUUAGAUACCCUGGUAGUCCACGCCGUAAACGGUGGGUACUAGGUGUGGGUUUCCUUCCUUGGGAUCCGUGCCGUAGCUAACGCAUUAAG